AACGAACGCUGGCGGCAUGCCUAACACAUGCAAGUCGAACGAGACCUUCGGGUCUAGUGGCGCACGGGUGCGUAACGCGUGGGAACCUGUUCUUAGGUUCGGAAUCACUCCCCGAAAGGGGUGCUAAUACCGGAUAAUGUCUUCGGACCAAAGAUUUAUCUCCUUUGGAUGGGCCCGCGUUGGAUUAGCUAGUUGGUAGGGUAAAAGCCUACCAAGGCGACGAUCCAUAGCUGGUCUGAGAGGAUGAUCAGCCACACUGGGACUGAGACACGGCCCAGACUCCUACGGGAGGAAGCAGUGGGGAAUAUUGGACAAUGGGCGAAAGCCUGAGCCAGCAAGGCCGCGUGAGUGAUGAAGGCGUUAGGGUUGUAAAGCUCUUUUACCCGGGAUGAUAAUGACAGUACCGGGAGAAUAAGCUCCGGCUAACUCCGUG
rnacentral:rRNA from 1 species